rnacentral:rRNA from 1 species
UACGAAGGGUGCUAGCGUUGUUCGGAAUUACUGGGCGUAAAGGGCGCGUAGGCGGAUAGGUAAGUUAGGUGUGAAAUCCCUGGGCUCAACCCAGGAACUGCACUUAAUACUGCCAAUCUAGAGUACGAAAGGGAGAGACGGAAUGGCGAGUGGAGCAGUGAAAUGCGUUGAUAUUCGUUGGAACACCGGUGGCGAAGGCGGUCUCUUGGUUCGUAACUGACGCUAAUGCGCGAAAGCGUGGGGAGCAAAC